GCGGCGUGCUUAACACAUGCAAGUCGAACGGAAAGGCCCUGCUUUUGUGGGGUGCUCGAGUGGCGAACGGGUGAGUAACACGUGAGUAACCUGCCCUUGACUUUGGGAUAACUUCAGGAAACUGGGGCUAAUACCGGAUAGGAGCUCCUGCUGCAUGGUGGGGGUUGGAAAGUUUCGGCGGUUGGGGAUGGACUCGCGGCUUAUCAGCUUGUUGGUGGGGUAGUGGCUUACCAAGGCUUAGACGGGUAGCCGGCCUGAGAGGGUGACCGGCCACAUUGGGACUGAGAUACGGCCCAGACUCCUACGGGAGGCAGCAGUGGGGAAUAUUGCACAAUGGGCGGAAGCCUGAUGCAGCAAACGCCCGCGUGCGGGGAUG
rnacentral:rRNA from 1 species